UGUUCAUAACCCUUUGUUGUCCGACUCUGUUGCCUCCGGGGCGACCCUGCCUUCGGGCGGGGGCUCCGGGUGGACACUUCAAACUCUUGCGUAACUUUGCAGUCUGAGUAAACUUAAUUAAUAAAUUAAAACUUUUAACAACGGAUCUCUUGGUUCUGGCAUCGAUGAAGAACGCAGCGAAAUGCGAUAAGUAAUGUGAAUUGCAGAAUUCAGUGAAUCAUCGAAUCUUUGAACGCACAUUGCGCCCCCUGGUAUUCCGGGGGGCAUGCCUGUUCGAGCGUCAUUUCACCACUCAAGCCUCGCUUGGUAUUGGGCAACGCGGUCCGCCGCGUGCCUCAAAUCGACCGGCUGGGUCUUCUGUCCCCUAAGCGUUGUGGAAACUAUUCGCUAAAGGGUGCUCGGGAGGCUACGCCGUAAAACAAACCCAUUUCUAAGGUUGACCUCGGAUCAGGUAGGGAUACCCGCGUGAACUUAAGCAUAUCAAUAAGGCGGAGGA
rnacentral:rRNA from 1 species